UUUACGAGAAGAGACGCUGCACCGCGCGUUUGGUCCGUGUUUGAUUAUUUUAAGUCUGUCCCAUCACCUGCCUGCAAUGUCUUCCUGUGGAGAUGUUGGUGAAGGUGUGAACACUGAAAAGGCGGCGGCAGACGAGCCGGCGGCGGCGGUCGGCGG